UAACCAAUUUUUUUCCUCUCCAGGCAAGGCCUGAUCAUGCCAUCUCUGAUCCUAUCUAUUCCACUAUUACAACUUCUCAUAAUUCAUCAGAACUCGCUGUCAUUAUUGAUCUCCAGUAGAGAGAGUGGUGACCAUGUUUCUGAAGUCUGUUUAUCUCCACUGUGUACAAGGUCAAUCCUACAGAAAUCCUCAGACUGUUGUCAUCUUUGAUACAACCCCAAAAUAUUCACUGGAACCAGGUGGUGACAAAGAAGGAGAAAUUGGGCUUGAGAACAGAGCUGCUACACUGGCUGCAUAAAUGGAGAAUAUUUCUAACAGGUAGGUGAUACACACUGCAUGAAGUUUUUGUCCAUGCUAAAUAAUUAU
rnacentral:lncRNA from 1 species